rnacentral:sRNA from 1 species
UUCAAGCUAUAAGAAUUGUCUGGUUUUUGGACAGGAUCAAAACUGUGGCGAUCAAUAAUCUAUUCAUUAUUAUUUUUUUCCACAGCCAAUUUGAGGGUCAAAAUCAAUAAAAAGGGAAAUUUUCAAGUCGUAACUAAAACCAGGCACAAGGAAUUUAGGUAACUUUAUUUCAUAAUGCAUGAGAAGUAGAAUCAGAAAAGAAAAGGACAAAAUGUCUGGGAGGUUAUAGCUGAAACGCGGCGCACUAUAGGAAUAUCAAAACAAAGUGGAUCAUUAUACAACGAACGAUGAAUAAAAACGCUUGCAGGAUACAAAGCAAGCAGACUUUUGCCAAAAAUAAAUAUAGGAAAAACCAGUAAGAUGGUUAAAUUCGUAGAGCAUGAAACAUAUAGGAAGGAAACAAAAUAAAGUAAAGAUGUUUAAAUUCAGGAAUAAAAGAGGAAACGCUUGACGUGGUAAAAAUCGACGAUCAGCAAGGGUGGUGCAUGAAUCCGAAAAAAAGGAUCCUCCUUACUUGGACUUUUACCGCAAAAGAGAAUAAAGAAAGGAAGCGCGUCUAUGUAUCAUAUCAAUGUUAAAGAACAUGAUAUCAUGCAAUUAAAACGAAAAGCAAAAGGAAAGAGAGGAAAAUGCGUUUCAGCGUGAGUCACGCUCACCAAUCAACGGCCCAGCCGUUUUUGGUUAAGAAAUCAUCACAAGCUGCUUUCAGGGCAUAGUUUGGGCGA